CGAGUAGAAUUUACAGGUUUGACUGAAUUGUGGAGAGGAAUGGCGAUUCAUUGCUGGUGCAGAGUCAGGAGUGCUUGGAGAAGGUUGCCAAGACGGUCUCCUUCCUCGCGCAGCCUGAAGGCUCAUUCCUGCUGUUGCUCACAGUUCAAAAGGACCGCGCGCUGGAGCUCCUAAACGUGCGCCCCUUCUACUUCGUUUACUUAUGUGGCGUGAAGACAUAAAGCAAACCUUUGGAGCCAUAGUUGUCUUUUUUGUCAUCUAAAAUAAUAAUGGUAACAUAUUAAUACAAACAAAAUAAUAUUCUAGCUCAAAAAAUUGUAUGUGAAUAAUGAAUGGAUGCUAUGGAACUAUAUUUGUUAUGGAGCUAUGUAUGUAUGGA